GACGAACGCUGGCGGCGUGGAUUAGGCAUGCAAGUCGAACGGUAUCAUCCUUUCGGGGGUGAGAGAGUGGCGAACUGGUGAGUAACACGUAGGUUAUCUACCCUCAAGACGGGGACAACCCAGGGAAACUUGGGCUAAUACCGGAUGUGAGCAACUUUUAGUUGUUUGAAAGGUGGCGUAAGCUGUCGCUUGGGGAUGAGCCUGCGUCCUAUUAGUUAGUUGGUGAGGUAACGGCUCACCUUAGGCAAUGAUAGGUAGGCGGCCUUAACGGGUGGUCGCCCACACUGGGAUUGAGAUACGGCCCAGACUCCUACGGGAGGCAGCAGUCGAGAAUAGUCUACAAUGGUCGGAAGACUGAUAGUGCGACGCCGCGUGAACGAUGAAUCCCUUCGGGGUGUAAAGUUCUUUUAUAUGUGAGCAGUGCUUCUUAUAUUAACAGUAUGGGGAAGAGAGAUAUUAGCAGUAUGAAUAAGCAACGGCUAACUCCGUGCCCAGCAGCCGCGGU
rnacentral:rRNA from 1 species